rnacentral:misc_RNA from 1 species
CGACAAUAUCCUCCAAACACUCGGAGAUUUCACUAGCAAAGAGAAUUGGGACAAUUUCUUCACCAUACGCGGCCAUGGCGAUGCUUUUGAGUGGUAUGCCGAGUGGCCCGAGCUCAAAGACCCACUCAUUUCCCACCUUCCCACCCUCUCCAAAUCCCCUUCUCCCCAGAUUCUCGUUCCUGGUUGCGGCAACUCCAGUCUCUCUGAGCAGCUCUACGACGCGGGCUUUCGAUG